CAACAGCUGAAAGGAGGUGAUCCGGUGUCUCAUUGUCACUCGACGCGAGCGGAGAUCGGAACCCGGACCUCUUGCGAGGCCCGCGCCUGACCUUUCAGGCAAGGAUCUGAUCGGCCGCUCAGCGGUCAGACAAUGCGAGGCCGCCGGCGCAAUCCGGCGGCCUC
rnacentral:sRNA from 1 species